GCUUGCUUAGGCAGCCAUAUGCUAAAUCAGAACAAUACAGAGAUUAGCAUGGCCUCAUUGCAAGGAUGCCACACGAAUUCAUGAAGUCCCAUAUUAAA
ensembl:snRNA U6 U6 spliceosomal RNA